rnacentral:rRNA from 1 species
AUGGAGGAUGCCUUUGCUUGGCCGCAUGACCCUUCGGGCAUGUACACAGCGAGAUCCACCUAUGACAAGCUUAAUCAGGGCGCGAUCAGAUCACCUACUGCUGCCGCAAUCUGGCGUAGCUGGGCACCACUUAAGUGCAAGAUCUUUGCUUGGCUCGCCGUGCAGCACCGGCUUUGGACAUCUGACAGACGGACGCGACAUGGGUUGCAGGACAACACCUCGCCUUGCUACACUUGCUUGCAGGAGGAGGACACUGUUGAGCACAUCGUGGUGCAGUGUGUUUACGCUCGCCAGGUGUGGCACACGUGUUUUGACUCCCUACAAAUCAAUGUCCUUAUUCCCAAUGACACGGACACACUUGUGGAGUGGUGGCUUAGGGCUCGCUCUGGUUUCCAAGGAAAACACAAGCGAGGUUUUGACUCGGUUGUCAUCGGCGCGGCUUGGAUGCUGUGGAAGCAAAGGAACGCCAAGGUGUUCAAUCGGCCGGAGCAAGUUAAAGACUAUAGUGAGCUAGCUAGAGCCAUCCUUGAUGAAAUCUGCGAGUGGUAUAAUGCAGGUAAGUUGAUCGAGCGACUGCCUCAAGGAUCGGACGAGGGGAGGUGCACCUGGCUACUACCCCAACCUGCUAUUGCUCCAAUUCAGGAACUCAAUGAGAGGGCGUUGAAGGCUCAAGAGCUGAAGCAGCAGCCCGACUCUAGUUUCUAG